rnacentral:rRNA from 1 species
AUUGAACGCUGGCGGCAGGCCUAACACAUGCAAGUCGAGCGGAGCGGCGGACGGGUGAGUAAUGCCUAGGAAUCUGCCUGGUAGUGGGGGAUAACGCCCGGAAACGGGCGCUAAUACCGCAUACUGGCAGAUGAGCCGGGGUGGGAUUAGCUAGUUGGUGGGGUAAGGGCCGACCAAGGCGACGAUCCGUAACUGGCCUGAGAGGAUGAUCAGGCACACUGGAACUGAGACACGGCCCAGACUCCUACGGGAGGCAGCAGUAGGGAAUAUUGGACAAUGGGCGAAAGUCUGACCCAGCCAUGCCGCGUGAGUGAAGAAGGUUUUCGGAUUGUAAAGCACUUUAAGUUGAGAGGCGUUACCAAAAGAGUAAGCAACGGCUAACUCCGUGCCAGCAGCCGCGGUAAUAC